AACGAACGCUGGCGGCAUGCCUAACACAUGCAAGUCGAACGAGACCUUCGGGUCUAGUGGCGCACGGGUGCGUAACGCGUGGGAAUCUACCCUCAGGUUCGGAAUAACUCAGAGAAAUUUGAGCUAAUACCGGAUGAUGACGUAAGUCCAAAGAUUUAUCGCCUGAGGAUGAGCACGCGUAGGAUUAGGUAGUUGGUGAGGUAAAGGCUCACCAAGCCGACGAUCCUUAGCUGGUCUGAGAGGAUGAUCAGCCACACUGGGACUGAGACACGGCCCAGACUCCUACGGGAGGCAGCAGUGGGGAAUAUUGGACAAUGGGCGAAAGCCUGAUCCAGCAAUGCCGCGUGAGUGAUGAAGGCCUUAGGGUUGUAAAGCUCUUUUACCCGGGAUGAUAAUGACAGUACCGGGAGAAUAAGCUCCGGCUAACUCCGUG
rnacentral:rRNA from 1 species